AUGGAUCUUCGGGGUAAGGUGAAAUUCCUGACCGGCGGUGAUGCUUCUAUCUUGAAUGAGAUGAGGCUCAGCCCGCGACUCGCUAAGUUUGCGAUUGAAGCGAACCUAGCGACUGACUUGGUGCAAUUCCAAGGCCGACGGUAAAGUCCGGAUGGGAGAAGAUCAAG
rnacentral:ncRNA from 2 species